rnacentral:rRNA from 1 species
UACAGAGGUGGCAAGCGUUGUUCGGAAUUACUGGGCGUAAAGGGCGCGUAGGCGGUCCUGUAAGUCCUGUGUGAAAUCCCCCGGCUCAACUGGGGAAUUGCACGGGAAACUGCGGGGCUUGAGUUCGGGAGAGGGAAGCGGAAUUCCCGGUGUAGCGGUGAAAUGCGCAGAUAUCGGGAGGAACACCGGUGGCGAAGGCGGUUCUCUGGGCCUGACCUGACGCUGAGGAGCGAAAGCGUGGGGAGCGAACAGG